GGGGAUAACUACUGGAAACGGUAGCUAAUACCGCAUAACGUCUUCGGACCAAAGUGGGGGACCUUCGGGCCUCAUGCCAUCAGAUGUGCCCAGAUGGGAUUAGCUAGUAGGUGGGGUAAAGGCUCACCUAGGCGACGAUCCCUAGCUGGUCUGAGAGGAU
rnacentral:rRNA from 1 species